ensembl:snRNA U6 U6 spliceosomal RNA
ACGCUUCGGCAGCACAUAUACUAAAAUUGGAACGAUACAGAGAAGAUUAGCAUGGCUCCUGCGCAAGGAUGACAUGCAAAUUCGUGAAGUGUUCCGUAUUCUU